UUGCCAGGUAAUAUCUGUGUGCCGGGUUGUUGCUGCGUUCAAGACAAUAACUCAGUUAUAUAUAUAUAUAUAUAGUCAUUGCUUCUUUUUUUUCUUAUAAAUGCCACAACAGUGCAGCUAAACAGACCAUUAACACUGCUAAUAUAAAACGUGACCUAAUGCAAUAAUCUCUGCAAAAUACCUGCAGGAAAAAAAAAAAAAAAAAAAUCUAAAUGUCAACCUAUACCCCUAAUGAAAUUUAGCCUGAUUUUCCUUCUGAAUAAAACAUUCAGUCAAGAAUAUCACUCCACUGUAUCUCUCCAGAGAGCUAACACUGUUUUCAGUAUGCAUUUAAUUUGUGGAAAAUACUGAGAAAAUAUUCUGAGGAAAUUCAUGGCAGUAUAGGGAGUUAUAUAAGGGCUAAUAGCAAACUCCUGGAUUCCACUUAAGACUAACAAUAUUAAAGAACCUCCUUCCGAAUCACAUAUUAGCUUUAAUUGGCUUCAAAGGGUUGACGGUGAGUUAAAGCUGAUGCUCGAUCAGGUUAUUUUCUUCUCAUUAGGAAUGCCAUUUUCUAAAACACACACUGUAAAAUGGCGGCUUAAGUGGAGCAUGUUUUCUUUCUCCCAGUCCAAUCGCAGCUUUAAAACCACCUUAUUAUCAGUUCAGUCCUUCACUCAUUUAUGCAGACAAUCAAGUGAAGAAGGUGACACAAAAGAGGCAUCGAAACUGUCUCUGUGGUAGUUUCUGGAUGUGGAUGCAGGGGCCACGUGUUGCCAGGACGACACACACACACAAAUGUUGAAUCACAAGCUAAAAUACAAUAUCAGCUAUUUUUGUGCGAGAAUUUCCUCAGCAGGAGAGAAGAGGGCAGAGCCUUUGAGAGAGGAUAAGUAGGAGACACAGAAGGUUGAAGAGAUGGACGUCAAACCAAAUUUAACUGCAGUGGGGGGUUCCAGUUUACAAAGCAGAAAUGACAACUCAUGCGCCAGAUCAUUUCAUUUGUUGUUGCUCCCCUGUGGGGAGAGGCUUUUGGAAGUGGCAGAAAUGACUGGCUGAUGUUAACAAAGAGCAACAACUAAUGACAUUGCAUCUGUUGCUGCUUAUCUGCGUCUUUCUCUCUGCCUUCUUACCAGGAAAUUAAGCCAUUUCGAAUCCACGCAAAUAUGUCGUUAGAUUAAAAGUCAACAGAUUUCAAAACACAUGAUUGACUGAUACUUAGAUUUGAAUAAAGCCAAUUAAAUAAUCAUUUUCCGCGGUGGGCCCCCUUUGAAACAAAUUCAAAAGUGACAAACUAUUGAAUUAACCUUUUCUAUUAAGGCAGCGUUGAUGCAUAGCAGGUGAUUAAGUGUCAUUAAAACAGAGCUCAAAACAGAGGCUGUUAAUAUGAAAAACAGCCGGCUUUACAGUGCAGUCGUAAACAUGGCUUCUCUGGUUGCACUCCAGCUUAAUGGUACCUCAGUCGAUACUGGUUGGCUUUGGAGGUAGGAUAAUGUGACGGCAAAAUAAAUGUGGCAAUGAAACAUCUUUGUAAAAUGAUGAAGAUGGAGUCGUAAAAACCUGACAGCCUUUAUGAGUCAAAGUAAAUGCCCCAAAAUAGACAAAUGCAAACAAGUUCCUAGAGAGAACUUGCGUCUCAUGAAGAUGAACAUGAGUAACUCUCCUUCUUUUACAGUCGACCUGCAGGGGGUGGACGCCAUAAAUGAAACACCUGUGCGAGAUUAUGCAGUCUCGUAAAACAGUCGCGCAAUAAAUAAAACCUUUGUGAAGCUCCUGAUGUUAAAUUCUACGAGAACUGAUCAAGAGGACACAAGGCUGCGACACGUAACUGCUGAUGAUUGUUGCGAGGAUCAAGCCUGUGAUGUCUCGGGUGGCGAGCUGCUCAGAAGAGGACUUUGGUUUCAGACAACACUCAGCGCCCCCCGGGCCCCGAAAACAGGGGAGACUCCCAACACUGUGCAAACUAAAAUGGAUUUAAAGAUGUUUAUACAUAAUUUAUAAACUCACCUCACCCUGUCUCUGAGUUUUAAUGGAAUCUAUAAAACUGUAAAUAA